ensembl:lncRNA
CACAUCUAAAAAGUGCGGGCCUCGAGGCCUGGAGUUGCCUUCCCCUGCACUAAAGUUCCAUCUCUGCCAAAAAGGUGGGGGAUUUUGGUGUGUUUACUGCUUGCAUCGACACAAAGGAAAAUAACAGUCUCAGAUUGCAGUGCUACUAUCAAGACUGUUCACACCCUCCCUAUAAACCCUUCAGCUGUAAAUUCAAGACAUCGAAUGGAGGUAUACUAGCUACAAUGAAAAACGUGAUGUGCAAGAAUUACACUGUCCCAUUAACAGAACACAGUCCUGGCGAGUUGCAAGAGACUGGUAAUGUGACAAACUUCACAUGCACACUGACAAGAAACAAGAGGACUGAAACGAAGAACAUCACCAUAGACUACAAGACACAAAAAGAAAAACAACGAAUCCCAAAGUGCUGUGCUGCAAGCCCAACCUCCCUGUGGCCUGUGGUGCUCCUCACUCUGUGGAGAGUGGUUGACUCCUGAUGAAGGAAGCAUGAAGGACUGUCUCUGACCGCUUUGACUAACACAGAUGUAUCUGUUCCAUUUAGCCAUUUUAAAAUUUAAGAAACUUUCUAAAAUACAUUUCUAUGCAGGCUUCCAUUACUUGCUUGAUCCCCAAGUACAUGCAGUAAUGCAGUAUGUUAACAUAUAAACUGAAUUCCAACUAUGAUGUAUGAUAAUAUGAUAUAUUAAAGACUUAUGAAUUAGAAGUAUUAACUCA